AAAUACCAUAUAUUACAAUCAAGAUUAAUAUAGGAUAAGAGCAACUGUGUUAUCAUUUAUAUAACACUGGGGGUUUAUAUGCCUUUCUUGAGCAAUACAUAGGUAGCACAAGGAGAAAUUUAAAGACAAGGCUUGCAGAACAUCGAACGGAUAUUGUGAAAGUAAGAGGGAAUACGGCCAUAGCAAGGAAGACCUAUGAACAAGAUCUCACUGUAAUGUGGAAAGAUGCUAAAAUUAUCAAACAAGUCUGUGAUGGUGGUGGUCACAACAUUGUGGAGACGAUUGAGAUUGGACGACAGAAAACCCAGCUAUCAAUUAUCAAUGAUAACCAACCUAUUGACCUGGCACAUGCUUGGACACGGAUCAGUUCAUUUGCCCGACACUCAUUUUCUUGACAACUCAUUUCCCCGUCACUUACCCGACAACUCUUUUGCCCAACACCCUC
rnacentral:lncRNA from 1 species